rnacentral:rRNA from 1 species
AUUGAACGCUGGCGGCAGGCCUAACACAUGCAAGUCGAACGAGUGGCGGACGGGUGUGUAAUGUCUGGGAAACUGCCUGAUGGAGGGGGAUACUUCCUGGAACCGGUAGCUAAUACGGCUUACCAUCAGCUGUGCCCUGAUGGGAUGAGCUAGUUGGUGGGGAAAAGGCUCACCAAGGCGACAAUCCCGAGCUGGUCUGAGAGGAUGACCAGCCACACGGGAACUGAGACACGGUCCAGACUCCUACGGGAGGCAGCAGUGGGGAAUAUUGCACAAUGGGCGCAAGCCUGAUGCAGCAAUGCCGCGUGGAUGAAGAAGGCCUUCGGGUUGUAAAGUACUGUCAGCGGGGAGGCGUUACCCGCAGAAGAAGCACCGGCUAACUCCGUGCCAGCAGCCGCGGUAAUUC